rnacentral:tRNA from 1 species
GCCGGGGUGACCGAGUCUGGUUUAAUGUGCUGGACUUAAGAUCCAGUUAGCGUUGACCCAACGCUACGAGGGUUCAAAUCCCUCUCCCGGCG